GGGAAGGGACCGCGGCUCAGUGGUAGAGCACGUGCUUGGCAUGCCAAAGGCCCCGGGUUCAAUCCCCGGCCCCCCCA
rnacentral:tRNA from 1 species